GACGAACGCUGGCGGCGUGCUUAACACAUGCAAGUCGAACGAAGAGCGAUGGAAGCUUGCUUCUAUCAAUCUUAGUGGCGAACGGGUGAGUAACGCGUAAUCAACCUGCCCUUCAGAGGGGGACAACAGUUGGAAACGACUGCUAAUACCGCAUACGAUCUAAUCUCGGCAUCGAGGAUAGAUGAAAGGUGGCCUCUACAUGUAAGCUAUCACUGAAGGAGGGGAUUGCGUCUGAUUAGCUAGUUGGAGGGGUAACGGCCCACCAAGGCGAUGAUCAGUAGCCGGUCUGAGAGGAUGAACGGCCACAUUGGGACUGAGACACGGCCCAGACUCCUACGGGAGGCAGCAGUGGGGAAUCUUCCGCAAUGGACGAAAGUCUGACGGAGCAAACGCCCGCGUGAGUGAUGACGGCCUUUCGGGGUGUAAAAGCUCUG
rnacentral:rRNA from 1 species